rnacentral:rRNA from 1 species
AUUGAACGCUGGCGGCAGGCCUAACACAUGCAAGUCGAACGGGUGGCGGAUUGGUGGGUAAUGUCUGGGAAACUGCCUGAUGUAGGGGGCUAACUACUGUCAACGGUAGCUACUACCGCUUACCAUCGUAUGUGCCCAGAUUGGAUUAGCUAGUAGGUGGGGUAAAGGCUCACCUUGGCGACGAUCCCUAGCUGUUCUGAGAGGAUGACCAGCAACACUGGGACUGAGACACGGCCCAGACUCCUACGGGAGGAAGCAGUGGGGAAUAUUGCACAAUGGGCGCAAGCCUGACGCAGCAAUGCCGCGUGUAUGAAGAAGGCCUUCGGUUUGUAAAGUACUUUCAGCGGGGAGGCGGUACCCGCAGAAGAAGCACCGGCUAACUCCGUGCCAGCAGCCGCGGUAAUUC